rnacentral:rRNA from 1 species
CUGACCUAGCGGCGGACGGGUGAGUAAUGCUUAGGAAUCUGCCAUUUAGUGGGGGACAACAUUCCGAAAGGAAUGCUAAUACCGCAUACGUCCUACGGGAGAAAGCAGGGGAUCUUCGGACCUUGCGCUAAAUGAUGAGCCUAAGUCGGAUUAGCUAGUUGGUGGGGUAAAGGCCUACCAAGGCGACGAUCUGUAGCGGGUCUGAGAGGAUGAUCCGCCACACUGGGACUGAGACACGGCCCAGACUCCUACGGGAGGCAGCAGUGGGGAAUAUUGGACAAUGGGCGGAAGCCUGAUCCAGCCAUGCCGCGUGUGUGAAGAAGGCCUUAUGGUUGUAAAGCACUUUAAGCGAGGAGGAGGCUACCAGUAUUAAUACUACUGGAUAGUGGACGUUACUCGCAGAAUAAGCACCGGCUAACUCUGUGCCAGCAGCCGCGGUAAUACAGAGGGUGCGAGCGUUAAUCGGAUUUACUGGGCGUAAAGCGUGCGUAGGCGGCUUUUUAAGUCGGAUGUGAAAUCCCCGAGCUUAACUUGGGAAUUGCAUUCGAUACUGGGAAGCUAGAGUAUGGGAGAGGAUGGUAGAAUUCCAGGUGUAGCGGUGAAAUGCGUAGAGAUCUGGAGGAAUACCGAUGGCGAAGGCAGCCAUCUGGCCUAAUACUGACGCUGAGGUACGAAAGCAUGGGGAGCAAACAGGAUUAGAUACCCUGGUAGUCCAUGCCGUAAACGAUGUCUACUAGCCGUUGGGGCCUUUGAGGCUUUAGUGGCGCAGCUAACGCGAUAAGUAGACCGCCUGGGGAGUACGGUCGCAAGACUAAAACUCAAAUGAAUUGACGGGGGCCCGCACAAGCGGUGGAGCAUGUGGUUUAAUUCGAUGCAACGCGAAGAACCUUACCUGGCCUU